rnacentral:rRNA from 1 species
UCCCCUAGUAACUGCGAGUGAAGCGGGAAAAGCUCAAAUUUAAAAUCUGGCGGUCUUGGGCCGUCCGAGUUGUAAUCUAGAGAAGUGUUAUCCGCGCUGGACCGUGUACAAGUCUCCUGGAAUGGAGCGUCAUAGAGGGUGAGAAUCCCGUCUUUGACACGGACUACCAGGGCUUUGUGAUGCGCUCUCAAAGAGUCGAGUUGUUUGGGAAUGCAGCUCAAAAUGGGUGGUAAAUUCCAUCUAAAGCUAAAUAUUGGCGAGAGACCGAUAGCGAACAAGUACCGUGAGGGAAAGAUGAAAAGAACUUUGGAAAGAGAGUUAAACAGUACGUGAAAUUGCUGAAAGGGAAACGCUUGAAGUCAGUCGCGUUGGCAUGAGAUCAACCUUGCUUUUGCUUGGUGUACUCUCGCGUCAACGGGUCAGCAUCAAUUUUGACCGUUGGAAAAAGUUCAAAGGAAUGUGGCAUCCUUUGGAUGUGUUAUAGCCUUUGUCCGUAUACAGCGGUUGGGAUUGAGGAACUCAGCACGCCGCAAGGCCGGGUUUUUAACCACGUUCGUGCUUAGGAUGCUGGCAUAAUGGCUUUAAUCGACCCGUCUUGAAACACGGACCAAGGAGUCUAACAUGCCUGCGAGUGUUUGGGUGGAAAACCCGAGCGCGUAAUGAAAGUGAAAGUUGAGAUCCCUGUCGUGGGGAGCAUCGACGCCCGGACCAGACCUUUUGUGACGGAUCCGCGGUAGAGCAUGUAUGUUGGGACCCGAAAGAUGGUGAACUAUGCCUGAAUAGGGUGAAGCCAGAGGAAACUCUGGUGGAGGCUCGUAGCGAUUCUGACGUGCAAAUCGAUCGUCAAAUUUGGGUAUAGGGGCGAAAGACUAAUCG